UGGAAAUUGAUAAUGAGGAUGACGAUGCAGAAAGUGGGGAUACGGCAACAUCAGGCAAAUCAACAGGACGUUCGGAAAAGAGAAAAUUCAAGUCUCGUCUUGCAAAUGAAAAUGAUGUGACUCAGAAUUCAUUAAAAGAAUCCCACACUAUUUCAAAGCAAGAGCCACAUGAUAAUUUUGCUAUCAUUAACUCAUCUUUUUCAUGCUCAAGAACUUGUCGUAAAUUACUGCAUAAUCUUCUAGUAUCUUCUGACGGCUCAAAAAUGGAUUUUACAAAGCCAG